rnacentral:lncRNA from 1 species
AUAGAUACAGUGUAUCAGCAUACUGGCUUAAAUAAGCUUUUGUACCAUGGAAAACUUCUAUUUCAUUUUGCUAUCUUGAUUUUAAAACUUUCUAGUUUGAAAAUACCAAUACAAAUCAUUUAUUACUGAGAGUGUACACACAGGGUAAUGAUUAAUGUACUUAUUUAGACAAAUCUUUUCAAACAUGGGUCUGAAGGGAGAAGUGGUGAGUGUGUGGGGGGCAGGCAAUCAGUAUUUAUCCUAUGU